rnacentral:lncRNA from 1 species
ACAAUGAAAUUGGCUGAACCAAAGAUCAGGAAGCACUGGCAGCAGGUGGAGCUGGGGUUGGGUUGAAUGCUUUCUGCUCAGCACAGCUUAGCUCCUCGUGUGGCCCUGCUUCCUCUCGCCCAACACCUAGUAAGUCAAGGUAAUGAAGGUAAUGGGAGAUGAUGAUGUUCAUGGGAUCGAUAUCGCCUUGCCCGCAAGUGUAAUCUCCGUAGAGAACGUUCAUGGUGGAGCCAAAAGUAGGACCCCGUUUUUCCUCUGUGUCAUUCUUGGUUGGUUUCCAGUUACCCACGAAAAUGUCGUGUGCUGAAGGUUGGUUCUUCUUGAUUGGGGUCAUCCACCUCCAGAUGGCAGCCUGGAAGGCAAUAGUUGCGUUCUGCUCGAGAUACUCAGGGUGGUGCAACAAAUCAACUUUUAUACCAUCGCCAGCAGCUCCAUAGUUGUAGUUCCUACAAUCGUAAAGCCACUAGUAGUACUCAGCGGUCAAAAACUAUUAAUACAACUACAAAUCAACUCAAACACCUAGCACAAACAUCCUAUGUUAUACACAGAGAUGCACACACACACACACAUACAUAUGCAUCCUACAAGUUUCCCAAAAGAUGCACGUAAACUUGAACAGACACAUAGGUCAUUGAUCCAAAAACAAAAGGCACAGAUGAACUUGAACAGACACAUUACUACUAUAUUACAUGGACUCAGUAUGAGUGUCAAACACGGAUAUACAACCGACAGGGAUAUGCUGAAGUUUCUCCAAGAUUCCUAUGUUUUUUGAGUUAUCGGAGGAUCGUAUCUUAUAUCCAUAUCUAGAGAUAUACAAUGGAGCCGGACAUUGUUAUUUCAAGAAAGGUUGAAUCGUUUAAUCAGAACAGUUACUCGAACAGGCAAUUCAAAACUUAAUCAGUGACAACAACAAAGUGCAGAUGAAAAAAAUUGAAUAAACGUUUCAAUCCUAACCAGAAAAGGUACUAUACGAAC